rnacentral:rRNA from 1 species
AUGUCGACUUGGAGGUUGUGCCCUUGAGGCGUGGCUUCCGGAGCUAACGCGUUAAGUCGACCGCCUGGGGAGUACGGCCGCAAGGUUAAAACUCAAAUGAAUUGACGGGGGCCCGCACAAGCGGUGGAGCAUGUGGUUUAAUUCGAUGCAACGCGAAGAACCUUACCUGGCCUUGACAUCCACGGGAAUUUGGCAGAGAUGCCUUAGUGCCUUCGGGAACCGUGAGACAGGUGCUGCAUGGCUGUCGUCAGCUCGUGUUGUGAAAUGUUGGGUUAAGUCCCGCAACGAGCGCAACCCUUAUCCUUUGUUGCCAGCGAGUAAUGUCGGGAACUCAAAGGAGACUGCCGGUGAUAAACCGGAGGAAGGUGGGGAUGGCGUCAAGUCAUCAUGGCCCUUACGGCCAGGGCUACACACGUGCUACAAUGGCGCAUACAAAGAGAAGCGACCUCGCGAGAGCAAGCGGACCUCAUAAAGUGCGUCGUAGUCCGGAUCGGAGUCUGCAACUCGACUCCGUGAAGUCGGAAUCGCUAGUAAUCGUAGAUCAGAAUGCUACGGUGAAUACGUUCCCGGGCCUUGUACACACCGCCCGUCACACCAUGGGAGUGGGUUGCAAAAGAAGUAGGUAGCUUAACCUUCGGGAGGGCGCUUACCACUUUGUGAUUCAUGACUGGGGUGAAGUCGUAACAAGGUAACCGUAGGGGAACCUGC